GACAGGUCCGAGACUUGUGGGUUUAGUUACGUGAGGCCCUACUGUAUUACACUUCAGGGUUAUUUUGAGAUGGUCACGAGAGAGCACUUGAACCCUGAACAAAGAACCUCUCUUGCCUUAUCCUAUUACAGAUGACAGUGAAGUGUUUUAAGUGCCCGGAGUCUGAUGCAACUGCAAAACCCCAACCAAAAGGUUGCCAAACAUCCUUGUUAUGGGACUCAAGAAAAAGCCACGUAAAAGGAAAGAAAGCUUUCCUUUCCUCUCUGGCCUGUCAAAGGGCAUUCUCCCCGCACCCAGACUCCUAAAGAGGAAGGAUUCUUGCUUAUGGAAGGAAAGCUAGGUGAGCCUAAAGAAAAAGUUGGGGAUGGAGGUAGUAGGAGUUAGAGUGAAAGGAAAACAUUCUGGGAAUGGAUGUUAGACGUUUGGAGAUGCUGGAGAAAGGUUUGCAACUGCAGAGUGCAAAGGAGGUAGAUGAGACAGGAGAGAGGAUUUUAAUAAGUGCUGCAGUGAAAUAUGCAUUUGGGUUUUUUUUUUUGAAAUUUCUUUGAGAGAUGCAAGCAAAAGUGGAAGACUUUUAUAAUUUUUUUUCUGUUGACUUUUGCUUCUUGUUUUUUUGUUUUGUUUUGUGUUUGAGACAGAGUCUCACUCUGUCACCCAGGCUGGUGUGUAGUGGUGCAAUCUCAGCUCCCUGUAGCCUCCGCCUCCCAGGUUCAAGCGAUUCUUGCCCCAGCCUACCAAGCAGCUGGGACUGCAGGUGUGCACCACCACACCCGGCUACUUUUUGUAUUUUCAGUAGGCAUGCGGUUUCGCCAUGUUGGCCAGGCUAGUCUCAAACUCCUGGCCUCAAAUGAUCUGUCCGCCUCAGCCUCCCAAAGUGCUGGAAUUACAGGCGUGAGCCACCGCGCCCGGCCAACUUUAGCUUCUUUAAAUGCAACUCUGUGCAGAGAUGGGUAUGUACGGAACUUCCCCCUUCUAGAUUUAUUAUUGUUACAUCUUUGUCCACACUUCACAUCCCUAGGCAAAGAUCAAGGAGAAGACUGUUUCUGGAAGAGGCAGAGGGAACAGACAACGCGAAGUCCCUAAAUGGGAACAAGUUUGAGUUAUUGGAGGAAGUCGGUGUGAGUGGAGUUUAGGGGAAGGCAGGGAGUUACAAAAUGAGGUUGGAGUGAUGGGCAGAGGUUAGAUCCUGCAGCACUCUGAAGUUCAGGAAAGAUUUCAGAGUCUAUUCUAAGUGUAGGGGAAAAUAAAUGACUUAAAACCUUCCAUUGGAAGGUUUUAAGAAGAGGAGUAGUGUUAUGAACCAAAUGUGUAUGUCUCCCCAAAAUUCAUAUGUUGAAAUCCUAACCUCCAAUGUGAUGGUGUUAGGAGGUGGGUCUUUCAGGGGUGAUUAGGUCAUGAGGGUAGAGCCUCAUGAAUGGGAUUAGUGCCCUUAUGACAAGAGACAGGAGAGCUUGCCGUCCUUCCGCACUCCAGCAUGUGAAGAUUCAAGAAGAUGGCCAUCUGUAAAACCAGGAAGUGGAUCCUCACCAAAUACUGGAUUGGCCAAGCACCUUGAUCUUGAACUUCUCAGCCUUCAGAACUGUACACAGUGUCUGUGUGUUCCCUGCUCUUGGAUCUCUGACUUGAGUGAAUCUGCUCCAACUGCCUCAGCCAGCCCUGGCCUUGGUCUUUCUGGCAAGACAUCCUAGAAGACUGUAUUUUGCUAAGACUGCAACUGCCAGCCACAAGCUUGAUGAGCAGCCUAGGGAAUGUGGCUCACCCCUGUCCAUGGGCUUUGGAGUGAUGAAGACCCUCAAAGAUCAGCUCUCAUUUCUGCCUGGUUAACUCCUAUCCAGCCUCCAAAUCUCAUCCCAAGCAUUACUCUUAUGGGGAAGCCUUUCCUGGUCUCCUUGACUAGUCAAACCUCUCUCAUAAGCAUGCAUAGCACAGGCUCCUUUCCUUCACAGCCCCUGUCAUGGUCAUUUUUUUUUUUUUUUUUGAGACAGAGUCUCACUAUGUUGCCCACACUGGAGGGCAGUGGUGCAAUCUCGGCUCUCUGCAACCUCUGCCUCCCAGUUUCAAGCGAUUCUCCUGCCUCAGCCUCCCGAAUAGCUGGGGCUACAGGUGCGU
rnacentral:lncRNA from 1 species